ACGUGGAAUUUUUCGAACUUUUUGACGAACUCACUCACCGGAACGUAAUUAUACGGUGUGUUAUGAUCGAACCAGUACUGAGAUUGGUCUUUCCGAGAGGUCACUUCUUGGAGGAAAUCAGCGGCACCUUUUCUCUCCGGGCAUCGGAAACCACAGAACUCGAAGAACUCGAGGAUGUUUUCUCGUGGUCCCUGAUAGACAACUUGUCCCUCCGAGAGGAGGAUCACGUCGUCAAAGAGUUCAUAUGUCUCUGGUGCAGGUUGAAGGAGGGAGAUGACAAUUGUGGCUUCUCCGAGGUGGACGAUUUGCUGGAGACAU
rnacentral:lncRNA from 1 species